GCAUUGUGGCAUAUCUUUGGGAGCAUCAACUGUUUGAUGUGACUCUUUUUUUAUACCAAGGCUUUGCUCAUAGGAGAGAUUGUGACAUAUCUUUUGGCCCAGAAAUCAGGUGAUGUGUUUCUCCUGCCUGAGCUUAGCUCACAGGGAGCAUGGUGACAUAUCACUGGGCCUAGAACCCAAAUGAUGUGACUCUAUUGAGUGUGCCCUGCUUUCAGGAGGAAAUUGUAACAUAUCUCUGACCAACCACCCAGGUGAUAACUCUUCUGCCUGGUUCCUGUUCUCAGGAAGAUUGUGACAUAUCCCUGGCCCAGCACCCAGAUGAUGUAACUCUCCUGUGCACUCUCUAUCCUCAGGUGUGAUUUUGACGUACAUCUCUGCCUUGCACCUGAGUGAUGUGACUCUUCAGCACCAGCCCAGCCUACAGAUAGGAUUGUGCCACACUGCUGGACCCAGCACUUCGGUGAUGUAACUCUAUUCUCCUGCUACCCAAAAAGGACAUUGUAACAUAUCUCAGAGUCUUGCACCCAGGUAAUGCGAGUCUCCUCUCCUGCCUUCCUGGUGCCCACAGAAGCGGGAUAUGUACAGAAUUGUUGAUCUCAUCUGUGGACCUUCCUGCAAGCAUGAUUGUGCCAUAUGCCUCUGUAUACGCAAGGGUGAUCAUGCCAUAUGCCUCUGUAUAGUUUACUCUCCCACCUGGAUUUAGCCCACAGAUGAAAUUGUGACAUAUCACUGGACCAGAAACUAGGUUGGAUUGUGACAUACACUUUUGCACAGCUCAUAGUUAUGAUGAUGACACUCAUGCCACAAAUCAGCCAAUAGGAGAGAUACUGCCAC